AAUGAAGUGGAAUUUUGUUCAGUUCUGGGUGGUAAACUUGAAAAAGCACACAGAAACACUAGGUUUCAUUCACAGGCAAGAAACUUAACCAGGCUGUCUGAGCAGGGACUGCUGAGCUAGACGGAGAAAGCUCUCGGCAACGCGAAGGCUGCAGGGUUAUCGUGCAGAAGGAAGAGACUUCCCGUGUCAGAGACCCCGAGGGCCAGCACCCGAGCUAGGACCACAGGACACAAGAUCCUCUGAACUGAGUACAAGGAUAUUUUACAUGAUCUGAUUGCUUACAAUCUGAGAAAAAUUCCAAAUAGACUAAUCGAGACCCGACUACACUAUUUUAUUCCUGCAACUGUUCACACGGCUUGGAACAGUUUUUCUACAGGAGCAAUAUGGCCAAAGGCAUGUUCUACUUGUGAUUUACAAAAAGGAAAAACUGUCUUUGUGGACGGUCUUCCCGUCCCCAGGACACACGGCACGAUGUCCCGAGGCAUUCAGUAAAGUCACAAAGGGAAGAAAUGAAGCAGCAACAUGGUCCGUAAGCGCAGAGAGAACCGUGAGGCGCCCCAAGCUGCGCGCCUGCCGUGCAAGUCCGGGUCGGGUGUGGGGUCGCCGCCGCCCCUCCCGCCGGCCUGCGGCAGCGAGCCCCGCUCCCAGCCAGCUCCGUCCUCACUUUCCCUGGUCGGGCGCCCGGGCUCGCGGCCUCGGGCGGAGCGUGCGGACCCCUCGCCCCGUCGUCGGCGCGCGGGCGCCGAGCCCCGAGGGAAGGCGGACUUCUGGGAAGAGCGACCCGACCAGCCCCGGCCCCCGGCCCGGCCUCCGCGGCCCCCGGCACCGGGUCGGAAAACACGGGCGUUCGGCAGAGACAGACAGACAGACAGACAGGCAGAGCCGCGGGGCGCGCGGCGCGUGUGCGAGGCCGCCGGGAGACUCACCGCAGCAAUGCUACGUGAAUGCAGAGGGCUGGAGGUGGUGUGACUACUCACUUGCUCGGCUAACAGCUGCCGGGUUUGGAUGGAAUUAUUCCGCAACAACAAGAAAGCGUCGGUUAAACGCCUGGUGGCCAUGGCUCACCCUCGGGGACCCCCCGCUCGGGCCCCCCGCCCACCGAGCGUCCUGGUUUUGUCACUUUCUCUCUCUUGGCCUGGCCCAGGCGGCCCGCCCUGCGCGGAGACCCCUCUGGACAAGGCCCCGAGCCCAACAGGCGCCGCUUUGCGCCUCGCCAAAGCGCGGAGACCCCUCCCCAAAUAACCAGCUAGGCUUUCCAAUUGUCUGACUCCCCCUACUCAGGCCUGCCUUCGAUCUCUAAGCACUUGAAUCCCCCCAAUCCUUGCCCGGCUGGCCAACGUCCCAGAGACCCCACCCCAAUCCGACCUUGGAUCUACAAGCGUCUAACUCGCCAAUCCGGCUCUGGGCUGGGAGGCCCUGAAGCCCCCUACCCCCCUUUAGGCUCGGAGACCCCCAAGGGUCUGUGCCCCCUGCCCCUAACUGGGCUCGCAGGCGUCGAGGCCCGGCCCCCGAGGCCUGCCUCUGACUCAGUUUCCCCCCGCCAGAGGCCUGGCCCAGGCCUCCUUUGGACAACCGCGGGGCAGGCCUGGGCCCUGAACUCCAGGGCGCCUGGCCCUCCCUUCCUGGGCCUGGUGCGAGCCGGCUAAGGCCCGGGCCCCCGACCUCCUGACCCCUUCCCUUUCUGGGCGGCCUGGUCCUCCACUGCCACAGCGGCCUGCCGGCCUGCAGGAGGGCAGCAGGGCCUGCCUCCCCGGCCUCCUCACUCCUCUUCUCCGGCUCCCUCCAUCCCCGGAUCUGACUGCAGCUCAGCCCCGGGCCGUUUCCGUGCUGUGGUCCCGGGUUCUGGCGUCCCCCCGGCCCUCUUCCUGUCCGUCCCUCGCGAGUGCCCCCCUGCGACGUUCACAAGGCUUGCUCGCAACGUUCCGGCCGCGGGAGCUCCCUGCUCCCCUGCCCCAGGGCGCGGGAGCGCUCCGCCCUCUGCCCGGGGCGCUCCCGGGGCGCCCGCUUUCCCUUUCCCAAACUGGGCCCGGGCCGGGGGAAGCGCACGAGCGGGGCGGCCUGAGCCUCAGAAGCGUGGCCCCCGGCCGCACACGGUCGCCAGGGGCCUUGGGCGCACAUUAGAGUGGAGCCGAGCGGCAGGCAAAUUCGCGCCCCAGCAGAGGCGAAGUUUGCGGCGCGCGCGGAGCCGGGGCGGGAGCGGAAAAGUUGGCGGCGACUGCCUCUGGAGGCCGAGCACGCUCCACUGCAGGCGGCGGCUCGCGCUCGCCGGGUUGGUUUUUUUUUUUUGUU